CGAACGCGAAAGCCCCCUUCGGGGGGCAAGUAGAGUGGCGCACGGGUGAGUAACACGUAGGUAAUCUACCUUUGGAUGGGGAAUAACAAUCGGAAACGGUUGCUAAUACCGCAUAAUGCAGCGGCACCUAAUGGUGACAGUUGUUAAAGCGGGGGAUCGAAAGACCUCGCGUCUAAAGAGGAGCCUGCGGCAGAUUAGCUAGUUGGUAAGGUAAUGGCUUACCAAGGCAACGAUCUGUAGCCGGCCUGAGAGGGCGGUCGGCCACACUGACGCUGACAUACGGGUCAGACUCCUACGGGAGGCAGCAGUCGGGAAUUUUGGGCAAUGGGCGAAAGCCUGACCCAGCAACGCCGCGUGAAGGAUGAAAUCCCUCGGGAUGUAAACUUCGCAAGAACGGGAAGAAUAAGUAGGGGACAAUACCCCCUAUGAUGACGGUACCGUUUGUAAGCUCCGGCUAACUCCGUGCCAGCAGCCGCGGUAAUACGGGGGGAGCAAGCGUUGUUCGGAUUUACUGGGCGUAAAGGGCGCGUAGGCGGCCACCGCAAGUCAAUUGUGAAAUCUCCGGGCUUAACUCGGAAAGGUCAACUGAUACUGCGGGGCUAGAGUGCGGAAGGGGCAACUGGAAUUCUCGGUGUAGCGGUGAAAUGCGUAGAUAUCGAGAGGAACACUGCGGCGAAAGCGGGUUGCUGGGCCGACACUGACGCUGAUGCGCGAAAGCCAGGGGAGCGAACGGGAU
rnacentral:rRNA from 1 species